AUCCAGCUGACGAGUCCCAAAUAGGACGAAAUGUGCGUCAAACUAGAU
rnacentral:hammerhead_ribozyme from 1 species